UUGCUUUAAUUUAAUCAUAGACUCAGACAUAUGACACGAUUCAUUCAGAGUUUGAGUGGUUGGCCAUCGGCGGACGCGGGCCAGAGGACGCCUUUCAGCGGUCCUCCGGCGGCCGUGAGACGGGCCCGCCGAAGCAACAGAGGUUCAAUAAACAUAGGGUUGGGAGGUCGGGCCUGGAAGACCCUAACUCGUUAAUGAUCCUUCCGCAGGUUCACCUACGGAAA
rnacentral:misc_RNA from 1 species